CUACGGGGGGCUGCAGUCAUGAAUCUUCCGCAAUGGGCGAAAGCCUGACGGAGCAAUGCCGCGUGCAGGAUGAAGGUUUUCGGAUUGUAAACUGCUUUUAUCAGGGAAGAAUUUGUGACGGUACCUGAUGAAUAAGAGGUUGCUAACUCUGUGCCAGCAGCAGCGGUAAUACAGAGACCUCAAGCGUUAUCCGGAUUUACUGGGCGUAAAGCGUCCGCAGGUGGUUUAGCGGGUCAGAGGUUAAAACUUCAUGCUUAACAUGGAGAUCGCCUUUGAAACUACUAAACUAGAGAAUGGGAGAGGUAAGCGGAAUUGCAGGUGUAGUCGUAAUAAGCGUUGAUAUCUGCAAGAACACCAAAAGCGAAGGCAGCUUACUAGAACAUUUCUGACACUCAUGGACUAAAGCGUGGGGAGCAAACGGGAUUAGAUACCCGUGUAGUC
rnacentral:rRNA from 1 species